rnacentral:rRNA from 1 species
UACGUAGGGUGCGAGCGUUGUCCGGAAUUACUGGGCGUAAAGGGUGCGCAGGCGGCUCCGCAUGUCGGGCGUGAAAUCCCCGGGCUUAACCUGGGAAUUGCGUCCGAAACUAUGGAGCUGGAGUGUGGCAGAGGGAGGUGGAAUUCCACGUGUAGCGGUGAAAUGCGUAGAGAUCGGAAAGAACACCAACGGCGAAAGCACUCUGCUGGGCCGACACUGACACUGAGAGACGAAAGCUAGGGGAGCGAAUGGG